ACAUGCAGUCGAGCGAACAGACGAGGAGCUUGCUCCUCUGACGUUAGCGGCGGACGGGUGAGUAACACGUGGAUAACCUACCUAUAAGACUGGGAUAACUUCGGGAAACCGGAGCUAAUACCGGAUAAUAUAUUGAACCGCAUGGUUCAAUAGUGAAAGACGGUUUUGCUGUCACUUAUAGAUGGAUCCGCGCCGCAUUAGCUAGUUGGUAAGGUAACGGCUUACCAAGGCAACGAUGCGUAGCCGACCUGAGAGGGUGAUCGGCCACACUGGAACUGAGACACGGUCCAGACUCCUACGGGAGGCAGCAGUAGGGAAUCUUCCGCAAUGGGCGAAAGCCUGACGGAGCAACGCCGCGUGAGUGAUGAAGGUCUUCGGAUCGUAAAACUCUGUUAUUAGGGAAGAACAAAUGUGUAAGUAACUAUGCACGUCUUGACGGUACCUAAUCAGAAAGCCACGGCUAACUACGUGCCAGCAGCCGCGGUAAUACGUAGGUGGCAAGCGUUAUCCGGAAUUAUUGGGCGUAAAGCGCGCGUA
rnacentral:rRNA from 1 species